AUUUCAAACUAUCUCUAUCUGAAAAAAAUGCAAACCUCUUAUCUGGUAUUCCUCGAUCAAACGUUCCUAGAUAUUCGCAGAAUGACGAUCUCCGUUGUGGAACAGCAUUUUAGUAUCAGUAAAAUACUUCUGCGUGCAGUUGCCAUAUGGCCUUAUCAUCGAACGAAACUUGUUAAAUUUCACCUGAUCUUAUUUCAUAGUAUUUUGAGUAGCUUUGUCCUAUUUCAGUUGACAACAUUUUUAACUACAGAAUGCACACCUGAAAUGGUAAUUAAAAUUUUAUGCUACACAUCGUAUUUCAGUAUGUAUGUUUUAACAUACAAUUCCUUUUGGCUUAAUGUCGAUACUAUAAGAUGUCUAUUGGAGAAAUUUCAAUAUAUAUGUGAUGAGCUAAUAGACGAAGGCGAAAUCGCUAUCAUAAAACUAUACGGGAACGGGGUGAAACGUUUUACAAUUAUGGUUUUAUUAUGCGCCAUGUCCAACUUAAGUAUUGCGUAUCUUCUACCAUUUUUCCCGCGAAUUCUUCGUACUUUUACGUCCAUAAAUGUGUCUGAAGAACAUUUUACGAUACAUGUUAUAAGAGAAUAUUUUAUCGAUCAAGAAAAAUAUUACUAUUGUAUUUUGAUGCACUUCGACGUAACCAUCUUUAUAGGAACAAUUGUGUCAAUAGCAUCAGGAACAUUGUUGUUUGGGUGCUCCAAAUAUAUUUGUGGAAUUUUUAGAAUCGCCAGUUAUCGUAUUGAUCAAGCAAUGCAGACUCCGACAUUACAACAUGCUGUUUUGUCGGACAAUUUUAUAAUUUAUGAGAAGAUUGUACAUGCCAUAGACAUUCAUCGCAAAGCAGUAAAAUUAUGUGAUAUGAUAACAUCCAAAUUCGUGGGAUCAUUUUUUGUAAUGAUGAUAGUUUUUAUUAUUAGCUUAAGUCUCAAUCUCUAUGGACUUCACCGGGCUCUAAUGCUUAGAAGCACCACGGAGGAAUAUGUAGCAUAUGUUUCAUUUACAGCCGCUCCUUUAGUGUACAUAUUCUUCGCCAAUUAUGCUGGACAGAAGAUCACAGAUCACCAUAAUUAUAUAUUUACCAGUGUAUACAACUUUAAGUGGUACAGAACUCCUUUAUAUAUACAAAGGAUAAUUUUGUUCCUGUUGCAAAGAAGCACUAAUAAUUAUUAUCUUGUUUUUGGUGGGCUGACUGUGUUGUCUCUGCAAAGUGCGGCCACGGUAAAAUUAUUUCAUGUUAUGUCAUGUUAUAAAAUUUCAUCAUAUGAUAAUCUUCAAAGCAGCAUGCAAAUAUGCAAAAUAUGUUUCAGAUGAUAAGCACUUCCAUAUCGUAUUUCACCGUUCUCUAUUCUACACAGCAAAGUCCAUGAUAUAAUUAAAUAACCUAAUUACUUUAUGACUUCUGACUUAAGCACAAGUAGAUUCUGCAUAUCAGAGAUUUCGUAGUCGAAUUCUUAUUUUCGCAAACAGAUGAAAUUUAUCACAAGAAAAUUAAGUGCUUUGAGGAACAAAUCGUCAUAAUAUUUUCCUGCGUACUAGAAACCGUAAUAACUAUAUAAAUAUAUUCACCAAUAUUUAAGUACAUAUGUUACGUUUUAUCCUGUAUUCUAUACUUUCCUUGUGUUUUAUGUUUUAACAAAGCAUAUUUUGCAGUUCCGGUAAUAGUUCGAAAUACAAACCGGAUGAUGUGAUACUUUACAAGAAUACAAACAUGUUUCAAGGAAACUUAGUUCGGAAUAAACCGGAGAUUUCACACUUGAUAUGCCAAUUACAAUUUUAUCCUUUGUAUUCCACUAUAUAUGUGUUAAACUAUAAUUCUUUUGGCUUACACCGAUAUUAUAAGUUAAGUUUUAUUUUACAUGUUUCAAUAAAUAUUACGGACAAAUGACUUUUAUGCAUAUAACUAUUCUGUUCCAGUUUUAGAAUGAAAAAUGAUAAUAAUACAUAAUAUAUUAACACGAUAGGGAAUUGAGCAUAACUCUCGUUAACCACCCAGGAGAGGUAAGGCUAUGGAUGCCUAAAUCUGAUGCCAAGAAAAACUUCUUUAUCUUACUUCGUUAUUUAUAAAUAAUGAAUUUUUAACCAUGAGGAGAAGUAAAUGAGUGGUUUUGCAAUGCUCACAUUGUAAGAUAUACGCACAUUGCAUCUAUAAAUCUAGGUUUAUUGCAGCUUGAUGCAGUUUGACGCAAAGAAAGUUAGUAUUUUCGAGACAAUCCGCGUUUUCGCGAGCAUACUUAACAAAUUGUGAUUCAAAGAAUGCGACAGAAAAGAAUAGAAGAGAAAAAUUCAAGCUUUGAACCAACAUCGGGGGAGACACAAGAUGAGAUAUACGGACGAUACAAGGUAAGUAGGUAUCUACGAGAUCCGGUUGGUACAUACCUCACUACCGUGGCAUAGUCCAUGCGCGCUGAUCAGUACCGAGUCCCGUGUAUGUACCAGUCGCGCGUCGAUUUUGAAAACUGAUUGCGAUUACAUGCACGUGCACGCGGAAGAUCGGCCGUAUCCUGUACUGUGAUGCCGGCGAGGACGGCAGCGCUCAUCCUAGCUCAUUUUGCCGGUGAACGCGUCACGCGAACUUCACAUCAUUAUUUGAUCGCCGCUGAUGUUUCUUCGUCCAUGUGCAAACUGUUCUUCACAUUCCGGUAUGUUCCGAAUUCUUCAUUAAUUGUUCUUCGCCGAUUUCUUAUUCGUUGUCUGAUUUCUUCUCUAUUACGUCGAUUUCUUUGCCGAUGUUUCAGUUCCAUUAUGCGUUUCUCUUGCAAUGCGUCUUUGGACUUGUCUGACUUCUGUGUCCUCUUUCUAUGAUGACGCUGGUGCUUACGUGUCUGACUAAUUGUUCUGUUCUCCAUUGCACGUCCCGCACUUUCUUGCUCGCUUGCAUGUACCAUCUUUAUUAUGGCUCGUCGCUUGAUUUUCCUACUAAUUUCAGCUUCGACAGAUAUGUAGAUUUUCUUUAUUCUGUCAUACAACAAUCGUCUAAUUUCUUUGCGGAUAAAGUCUUUUCCAUCACAUUUCCUUUCUCUGUUGCAUGCUGCCAUUAUUUCUCUCACGUAAGAUUGCGCGGAUUUUUUGUAUUAAGCACAAGUUUCUGCUUACCUACUAAUGAAUCUUUUUCAUUCGCUACGAACCUCUGAAUACGUUUUCAGAUCAGGCAAUCAGAAUAAUGCGUUUACUAAGCAAAUAUUUGCGGAACCACAUGCUGCAACAUACAUAUGAUACAGUAAUUAUACGACAGUAAUUAUACGACAAAAUGCGUUAUACUUGUGUGUCCAAAGUGCACCAAAGAUAAAAUAUAUGAUAGCAAACAGGUA